rnacentral:rRNA from 1 species
AGAUUGAACGCUGGCGGCAUGCCUUACACAUGCAAGUCGGACGGCAGCGCGGGGCAACCUGGCGGCGAGUGGCGAACGGGUGAGUAAUAUAUCGGAACGUACCCUGGAGUGGGGGAUAACGUAGCGAAAGUUACGCUAAUACCGCAUACGAUCUAAGGAUGAAAGUGGGGGAUUCUCAAGAACCUCAUGCUCCUGGAGCGGCCGAUAUCUGAUUAGCUAGUUGGUGGGUAAAGGCCUACCAAGGCAUCGAUCAGUAGCUGGUCUGAGAGGACGACCAGCCACACUGGAACUGAGACACGGUCCAGACUCCUACGGGAGGCAGCAGUGGGAAUUUUGGACAAUGGGCGAAAGCCUGAUCCAGCAAUGCCGCGUGAGUGAAGACGGCCUUCGGUUGUAAACCUCUUUGUCUAGGAAGAUAAUGACGUACCGUGGCGAAUAAGCCACGGCUAACUACGUGCCAGCAGCGC